rnacentral:rRNA from 1 species
AGUGGCGAACGGGUGAGUAAUAUAUCGGAACGUGCCCAAUCGUGGGGGAUAACGUAGAGAAAUUUACGCUAAUACCGCAUAAGAUCUAAGGAUGAAAGCGGGGGACCCGUAAGGGCCGCGCGAUUGGAGCGGCUGAUAUCAGAUUAGGUAGUUGGUGUGGUAAAAGCGCACCAAGCCGACGAUCUGUAGCUGGUUUGAGAGAACGACCAGCCACACUGGGACUGAGACACGGCCCAGACUCCUACGGGAGGCAGCAGUGGGGAAUUUUGGACAAUGGGCGAAAGCCUGAUCCAGCAAUGCCGCGUGCAGGAAGAAGGCCUUCGGGUUGUAAACUGCUUUUGUACGGAACGAAACGGUGCUCUUUAAUAAAGAGUGCUAAUGACGGUACCGUAAGAAUAAGCACCGGCUAACUACGUGCCAGCAGCCGCGGUAAUACGUAGGGUGCGAGCGUUAAUCGGAAUUACUGGGCGUAAAGCGUGCGCAGGCGGUUAUAUAAGACAGUUGUGAAAUCCCUGGGCUCAACCUAGGAAUUGCAUCUGUGACUGUAUAGCUAGAGUACGGUAGAGGGGGAUGGAAUUCCGCGUGUAGCAGUGAAAUGCGUAGAUAUGCGGAGGACACGAUGGCGAAGGCAUCCCCUGGACUGUACUGACGCUCAUGCACGAAAGCGUGGGAGCAACAGGAUAGAUACCUGUAGGUCCACGCCCA